rnacentral:lncRNA from 1 species
UUACUUAGUUUAUUAAUGUAAUAGUACAGGUUUAUUUCCAUUCACCAAAUUUUAGGCUUUACCCUUAGGAAAAAACCUACAUAUAUAUGGGCUGCAAGAGUACAAGCCAAGAUAGUUACACAAAAAAUAGUUAGCUUCUUCUUCCACAAAAACCUAUGAUGGCUUCUAAUAAUGGCCAUUCCCAAACUGUCUCGCCUGAGACAGAACCCUCUUUUUCGACUCCGAUUUUCUGGCCGGCCUCGACUCGCCGGACUCUGUCCUUUUCUUCAUCCUCACCNNNN